rnacentral:rRNA from 1 species
UACGUAGGGGGCAAGCGUUAUCCGGAUUUACUGGGUGUAAAGGGAGCGUAGACGGCAAGGCAAGUCUGGAGUGAAAGCCCGUGGCCCAACCACGGGACUGCUCUGGAAACUGUGUUGCUGGAGUGCAGGAGGGGUAAGCGGAAUUCCUAGUGUAGCGGUGAAAUGCUUAGAUAUCACGAAGAACUCCGAUUGCGAAGGCAGCUCACUGGACUGCAACUGACACUGAGGCUCGAAAGUGUGGGUAUCAAACAGG